GAUGAGAAUGUAGCUUUGUCAUCACCGACAAUAAUUUCAGCCCAAAUCCCCAUUUUCAAUAACCAUCACAUAUACACACAUUAUUCAUGUUCUUUGCCAUGUUUUGUGGCAUAGUUUUCACAUCUAUUUAUAUAUUCAUGAUUCUUUCAAACUCGGUGGUCAUCUUCUUGAAUUUCUUCAAUCUAUUUGAAAACAAUGGAAAUAUGCAGGAGGUUAGAUAUGUUUCAAGGAAAUGGAUUCUUCAAGUAGAAAUAGAGAAAUAAGUGGGCAAGGUGGGAGGAGAGAGAGAGAGAGAGAGAGAGAGAGAGAGGUGAUAAGAGAAGAUGUGGUCAGUCAAAGGGACGAUCUUUCAAAGAUGAUAGUGAGAGAGAUAAUACGAGGUAAAUAAAUACAUAAAAAUAAAAUUACAAUCCAAAAUAGAGUUCUCAUUGAGAAAGUAAGUUUCACAUGCAGGUGAGAUUUAUGGUAAAAGGGAGGAUAAAUCAGUAAAAAAUGCAAAAAGUGAUUAAAAGAGGAAGAAAAUGAAGGAAAGAAGACGUGAGAGGAGGGAAAAAUCAUUGCAAAAGACAAUAAAAAAAUUAUAGAAGAGAAACUUAACUCACACCAUGAAUAUUCAUGGUUGACCAAGCUUGCACACAUUUUCUCACGCUGUCCCCCCUCAGCUCACCCUAGCCCAAAAGUCUCCUAGGCUUCGCACAAAAUCAAUGGAUGAGUUUCCACUAGAA
rnacentral:lncRNA from 1 species